CUGGAAACGGUAGCUAAUACCGCAUAACGUCGCAAGACCAAAGAGGGGGACCUUCGGGCCUCUUGCCAUCGGAUGUGCCCAGAUGGGAUUAGCUAGUAGGUGGGGUAAAGGCUCACCUAGGCGACGAUCCCUAGCUGGUCUGAGAGGAUGACCAGCCACACUGGAACUGAGACACGGUCCAGACUCCUACGGGAGGCAGCAGUGGGGAAUAUUGCACAAUGGGCGCAAGCCUGAUGCAGCCAUGCCGCGUGUAUGAAGAAGGCCUUCGGGUUGUAAAGUACUUUCAGCGGGGAGGAAGGGAGUAAAGUUAAUACCUUUGCUCAUUGACGUUACCCGCAGAAGAAGCACCGGCUAACUCCGUGCCAGCAGCCGCGGUAAUACGGAGGGUGCAAGCGUUAAUCGGAAUUACUGGGCGUAAAGCGCACGCAGGCGGUUUGUUAAGUCAGAUGUGAAAUCCCCGGGCUCAACCUGGGAACUGCAUCUGAUACUGGCAAGCUUGAGUCUCGUAGAGGGGGGUAGAAUUCCAGGUGUAGCGGUGAAAUGCGUAGAGAUCUGGAGGAAUACCGGUGGCGAAGGCGGCCCCCUGGACGAAGACUGACGCUCAGGUGCGAAAGCGUGGGGAGCAAACAGGAUUACAUACCCUGGUAGUCCACGCCGUAAACGAUGUCGACUUGGAGGUUGUGCCCUUGAGGCGUGGCUUCCGGAGCUAACGCGUGAAGUCGACCGCCUGGGGAGUACGGCCGCAAGGUGAAAACUCAAAUGAAUUGACGGGGGCCCGCACAAGCGGUGGAGCAUGUGGUUUAAUUCGAUGCAACGCGAAGAACCUUACCUGGUCUUGACAUCCACGGAAGUUUUCAGAGAUGAGAAUGUGCCUUCGGGAACCGUGAGACAGGUGCUGCAUGGCUGUCGUCAGCUCGUGUUGUGAAAUGUUGGGUUAAGUCCCGCAACGAGCGCAACCCUUAUCCUUUGUUGCCAGCGGUCCGGCCGGGAACUCAAAGGAGACUGCCAGUGAUAAACUGGAGGAAGGUGGGGAUGACGUCAAGUCAUCAUGGCCCUUACGACCAGGGCUACACACGUGCUACAAUGGCGCAUACAAAGAGAAGCGACCUCGCGAGAGCAAGCGGACCUCAUAAAGUGCGUCGUAGUCCGGAUUGGAGUCUGCAACUCGACUCCAUGAAGUCGGAAUCGCUAGUAAUCGUGGAUCAGAAUGCCACGGUGAAUACGUUCCCGGGCCUUGUACACACCGCC
rnacentral:rRNA from 1 species